rnacentral:rRNA from 1 species
UGCAGUCGAGCGGAGAUGAGGUGCUUGCACCUUAUCUUAGCGGCGGACGGGUGAGUAAUGCUUAGGAAUCUGCCUAUUAGUGGGGGACAACAUUCCGAAAGGAAUGCUAAUACCGCAUACGCCCUACGGGGGAAAGCAGGGGAUCUUCGGACCUUGCGCUAAUAGAUGAGCCUAAGUCGGAUUAGCUAGUUGGUGGGGUAAAGGCCUACCAAGGCGACGAUCUGUAGCGGGUCUGAGAGGAUGAUCCGCCACACUGGGACUGAGACACGGCCCAGACUCCUACGGGAGGCAGCAGUGGGGAAUAUUGGACAAUGGGCGGAAGCCUGAUCCAGCCAUGCCGCGUGUGUGAAGAAGGCCUUUUGGUUGUAAAGCACUUUAAGCGAGGAGGAGGCUACUUAGAUUAAUACUCUAGGAUAGUGGACGUUACUCGCAGAAUAAGCACCGGCUAACUCUGUGCCAGCAGCCGCGGUAAUACAGAGGGUGCGAGCGUUAAUCGGAUUUACUGGGCGUAAAGCGUGCGUAGGCGGCUGAUUAAGUCGGAUGUGAAAUCCCUGAGCUUAACUUAGGAUUUGCAUUCGAUACUGGUCAGCUAGAGUAUGGGAGAGGAUGGUAGAAUUCCAGGUGUAGCGGUGAAAUGCGUAGAGAUCUGGAGGAAUACCGAUGGCGAAGGCAGCCAUCUGGCCUAAUACUGACGCUGAGGUACGAAAGCAUGGGGAGCAAACAGGAUUAGAUACCCUGGUAGUCCAUGCC